ACGGGGUGCAGCAGGCGCGAAAACUCCGCAAUUCGCGAAAGCGUGACGGGGGAACUCCGAGUGCUGCAGCGUUAGCUGUAGCUUUUGUAGAGUGUAAAUAUCUCUACGAAUAAGGGCGGGGCAAGACCGGUGCCAGCCGCCGCGGUAACACCGGCCGCUCAAGUGGUGAUCGUUAUUAUUGGGCCUAAAGCGUCCGUAGCCUGUCUGAUAAGUCCUUGGGUAAAUCCUGACGCUUAACGUUAGGAAUUCUAGGGAUACUGCCAGACUCGAGGCCGAGAGAAGUCAGAGGUACUCUUGGGGUAGCGGUGAAAUGCUGUAAUCCUGAGGGGACCACCAGUGGCGAAGGCGUCUGACUAGAGCGGGCCUGACGGUGAGGGACGAAAGCCAGGGUAGCGAACGGGAUUAGAUACCCCGGUAGUCCUGGCCGUAAACGCUGCGCGCUAGGUGUUGCAUGCUCUACGGGGGCAUGCAGUGCCGAAGAGAAGUUGAUAAGCGUGCCGCCUGGAAGUACCAUCGCAAG
rnacentral:rRNA from 1 species